rnacentral:rRNA from 1 species
GUGGAUUAGAUACCCUGGUAGUCCACGCCGUAAACGAUGGAUGCUAGCCGUUGGCGAGCUUGCUCGUCAGUGGCGCAGCUAACGCUUUAAGCAUCCCGCCUGGGGAGUACGGUCGCAAGAUUAAAACUCAAAGGAAUUGACGGGGGCCCGCACAAGCGGUGGAGCAUGUGGUUCAAUUCGAAGCAACGCGAAGAACCUUACCAGCCCUUGACAUCCCGGUCGCGGAGCGCAGAGACGCACUCCUUCAGUUCGGCUGGACCGGAGACAGGUGCUGCACGGCCGUCGCCAGCU